rnacentral:rRNA from 1 species
GGGGAAUUUUGGACAAUGGGCGAAAGCCUGAUCCAGCCAUGCCGCGUGCAGGAUGAAGGCCUUCGGGUUGUAAACUGCUUUUGUACGGAACGAAAAGAUCUCUUCUAAUAAAGGGGGUCCAUGACGGUACCGUAAGAAUAAGCACCGGCUAACUACGUGCCAGCAGCCGCGGUAAUACGUAGGGUGCAAGCGUUAAUCGGAAUUACUGGGCGUAAAGCGUGCGCAGGCGGUUAUAUAAGACAGAUGUGAAAUCCCCGGGCUCAACCUGGGAACUGCAUUAGUGACUGUAUAGCUAGAGUGCGGCAGAGGGGGAUGGAAUUCCGCGUGUAGCAGUGAAAUGCGUAGAUAUGCGGAGGAACACCGAUGGCGAAGGCAAUCCCCUGGGCCUGCACUGACGCUCAUGCACGAAAGCGUGGGGAGCAAAC